AUAUGGCACCUAGGGGGGAUGGACGUUGUAGAUAUUCUGGAAAAAGGACAGCAGAUCCAGUGGCAUCUCCUCUAAUGUCGAGUUUCGCACGUGAUCAAGCACCAUCAUUGCCUGAACUGCCAACACCAGUUACGCCAGAUUCAGUUGCAGUCAACAUAUCGGGACCAUCUUCAUCUGUGGGGAUCGAAAUACCAAGGAAUGACAUUGUAUCCACAACUUCGUCAAAUACAACUGAUGGUACCCGCAUCCCAAUUGAAAUCGUCAUGGGACGUUUGGAGCCAAGUAACAAUGUAUCUCGGGCGAUCACAAAAAUCUUUAAGGAAAAAUUGGAUCCUGAAGGACAUGAUUGAAAGUCAGUUACACCAUAGAUUAAGGACUUCUACUGGGAGGAGUUUAAGAAGCGAUUCCAUUGGAAUAUUACAACUGAAGGUUCCAUAAGGAUCAUUUUA